GUCUGUGCUUGAAUUUCAUUCCGAAGCUAGAGGCUCUGAAACAGCUAAAAAUUGCAGGAAACGGUAUCUGGUUGAGAUAUCUGUGUAUGUUCACACUUUGACCCACCAUUUCUGCUCAAAUCCAUAACAAUGACAGAUCCUUCAGUCAACACAAAAGUGCUUUACAGAUGAGCAAUUCAAGACUGCAGAAUCAAAGGUGGUAUGCAAAGCUAUCUUUCUCCAAGCACUGCUGAUCGUCCUACCUUGGGGAACUGGUAACCCUGAUGUUGCUACCUAGUUUCCAGAUCUCCACAGAAUGUUUAUGCACAGUCAUGUCAUUGUCAUUCUCUGAGAAGAAGAAUGGUUUUGGAGACCAGAGACAGCACCAAAUUAGCUGAGAAUUACAGGAGAAUGUCCCUUUUCUCUGUCUACCGUCAGUAUCUACCAAAUAUCUGGAAACUUUAUUUCUUCUGUGGGAUUUUAUGAACCUCUACACUGAGGGCUGGCCUUGACCACUUUAUUAAUGAUGAUGAUGUUUGUUAAUAUCUUUUCUAAAUCACAACUUCUCCAUUCAGAUUCUCACAUGCCACUGUUUCCUACUUUUAGUAAUAAAAGUAAUUUCAAAGCGGAA